AUUGAAUGUUUAUUUACUUUCGUAGCCCACAAGUGAAGCGAUUGUUGUGCAACUACAUUUCUCAAAUGUUAAUUUUCAAUUUCCGACAAAUUGUGACUCGUGCGAGGCGGUCACUUCCUACCACGAGGGUUUGCUGCGAUGGUAAACUACUGCAUACACGCUACUACGGCAGUCAGGCAAAGAUUAACAAAGACACAAUCGAUCUGUACCGGCAGCAGUACAUCCGUGACUCGUGGACGAACCUAACGCCGAAGGUUUUGUCCCAUCUGGACCGCAACCUCCAUCUGCAGCGAAACCAUCCACUGGCGAUCGUGCGGGAAAAGAUUGUGAAAUAUUUUUACGGUGCUUACUUGAGUCCGCGGGGAAACCCACUCUUUAGUGUGUACGAUAACCUUAGCCCGGUGGUGUCGGUAGAGCAAAACUUUGACCAGUUGCUGAUACCCCAGGACCAUCCGAGUCGGGCCAAGAGCGACUGUUACUACGUGAACAAAGAUUAUUUGCUGCGUGCUCAUACCACCGCCCAUCAGGUCGAAUUAAUCCAGGCCGGGUUGGAUAAUUUUCUUGUUGCCGGUGAUGUGUACCGGCGCGAUGAGAUCGAUGCAACACAUUAUCCGGUGUUUCAUCAGCUUGAUGCGGUUCGCAUCGUGCACCAGGACAAGCUGUUUGAGCGCAAUCCGGAGUUGAAAGUCCACGAAACGCACUACAAAACACAUCUGUCGAACGGAACCGCAUCGACGAGCACUGGUAGCCCUUUGGCGGACUGCAUCGACCAGCACAAACAGCCAUGCCAUACGCUCGAAGCGGUAAAGCUUUGCGAGCACGAGAUGAAGAAGGUUUUGGUUGGGCUUGUCCAGAAGCUGUUCGGCGCAGACAUCAAGUACCGUUGGGUGGACGCAUACUUUCCCUUCACGCAACCUUCGUGGGAGCUGGAAAUAUAUUUCAACGGCAGCUGGCUCGAAAUACUCGGUUGUGGCAUUACGCGGAAUGAAAUACUCGAUCGGGCCGGGGUGCAGAACUCGAUUGCUUAUGCGUUCGGAGUAGGGUUGGAGCGUUUGGCGAUGAUUCUGUUCGACAUACCGGACAUACGACUGUUCUGGAGUACGGAUAGUGGCUUUCUGAAUCAGUUCCGGGACGAUCGAAUCGUAAAGUAUAAACCAAUCUCGUCGUACCCACAGUGCACCAAUGAUUUAUCGUUCUGGCUACCGGAAGGUAUGUCGGUCGAACAAUUUGCCCUCAACGAUUUUUACGAUAUAGUGCGAAACGUUGGUGGUGACAUUAUUGAGCAGGUUACGCUUAUCGAUCGCUUUACUCAUCCAAAAACGGGCAAGAGUAGUCUUUGCUUCCGCAUCGUCUAUCGUCACAUGGAGCGAACAUUGACACAGGCGGAGGUGAACAUAGUGCAUGCAAAGAUAGGGUCAGAACUGGUCGAAACUUACCGUGUUAGCAUACGAUAAAGAAUGCAAUAUUAAAGCUAUAAGAUCCGAACGGAGUGAAAUGUGCAAUGAAACUAAUUUCGAUGCUUAAACCUUGAGUGGAUGGACAUGGUUUUGAAGAAUUAAAAUGAGCAAAAGAGAUAGUGACCAUAUCCACUCACAAGGACCACGUGAGAGCCUUAUAAACGAUGAAUCUAUACCGACGACAUCGCCGGCGGACAAUCCUAACGAUCCCAUAGAAAGAAACAUUCUAGUCGAACAAGAUGAGGAACUUAAAAGGCAACAUGUGACAUCCAUGAUUACAAAUUCGAUAGCACACACCACUAUGCAUGGCGAGUUGUAUAAUACGUAUUUGGCCAUAUCGAUUAUUCUUCGGCAAUUCAAAAAGAAGAACCAGUUUAUUGUCGCCACAGAAGUGUCGGAAGCAGGAAAAUUCGACGACAUUUUAUACCACCAGCAAUCGCCAAACGGCACCAGCACUUUGUGCAUACAAGCGAAGCAUAAAAAGACGGACGGGAUGUUCAUAAAGGUAGAGGAUCUAUGCGCUGCCAAAGGUAUGUACUCGGUUCCCACGUAUUUUUCAUCAUUUCUUGAGAUUGAUCCGGAACUAACUAAAGGUGAAUCUGAGUCCCAUAAAGAUGAACACAAAACUCAAUAUGCCAUUUGUACCAACGCUAAACUCGAUAAGAACGUCAAUGCCACGAAAAUCGAGCCACAGGAAGAUGAUACUUUACAGUUUUGUGACGAUAUACGAGCAACAUGUUAUCAGUUGCACCGUGACAUACCUGAGCUGACGGAAUGCUUAAAAAAAUCGUGUAAAGAUGUGUUUAAAAAUGAUUCAGAUUUUGAUGAGAAAAAGGACGAGUUCUUUAGUAAAUUUCUGCUUAUAUGUAACUCCUACAAUCACAAAGAACUACGUAUAAAAUUGCGGAACCUAUUGCCCGAGUGGUGCGAUGAAGCUCAACGUGAAUUAGUUAUUGAUAAUUUGGUGGGUUUACUGAAUAAUAACGUGUACAACAACCCUCGUUACUACAUAACCCUCGAACGUAUACAACAAUGGUUUUUGGACAAAGAUUUCAACCAAAACAUCAGUGUUUUGAGGCGUCUUUCAGAAGAGCACUUGGAAUCUGGACACAAAAAACAUCCUCAUAUUGAAGUAAAUCCGGAUCGCUUAAAAGAGUUUAAGUUGUAUGAAGUUCUCAAGGAGUCUGGUCCUGGAAUUUAUGAGUUUAACAGCACGCUUGAAUUGACAGUUUACUCUCGCAUUAUAUUUCAAGCGCUAUCACAAUUAAAAUAUGAAACAAUAUUUGUUGAUAGUGCAAAGUAUACAAAACAGCAAGAUAUGAAUGAUGUUCUCAAAGAUUUGCU